CGUGUUUUAUCACUGCUAAAAUAUUCUAAAUAUUAAAAUAUUAAAUUCAUUUAUUUGUAUACGUUUACAGAAAUAUAAGGAAUUCAUACAUAUUCAUUUAGCUUAGAUACCUGUGUUUUUAUAAAAAGUGUGUUAAUACAAGGAAAGUAAAUGAACUUGAAGACAUUAUUUAAACAAACAUUUAAAGAAAUGGAUUGAAAUAUUUGGAAUGGUAGCCAGAGGCGCAAAUUCAACUGGAAUUAACAAACGUAACUAAGACGUUUUCCAUUUGCAUUCGUGACGGGAGAAUGGAGGAGAUGGAAGGUCCUUGUGCUGAACUUUAGUAAAGGUUAUUGUGCUGAAUUUAGUCAAACAGAGACUACCAGAGGAAGUUGUGGGAGACUGGCAAUGAUGUACUGAACGAGCAUGGUGGAAAGACAACAUAGUCAAAUAGGGGUUUGUCAUAAGCCUAACUUGUGCAUAGCCUGCUUUGAUAGAGAGCCUACAGGAUAUUUUCAUCUAUGUGACCUUACCGCCUGUAUUCCUUGUACACUACAUAUUUUUUAAAAACAAUGUAGGAAGAAAUACUAGUACCCUAAAUGUGGGAUUAAAAUUGAAGCUAUCAGAAACGUUUAUAACUAGAAAGUAUUUGAUAAUAUAAUAGCAAUUCUGACAUGAUUAAGGUAGAUACUUAUGAGCAGAAAGCAUUUUAAGUUGAACUGUUUACUUCUUUCGAUGUAGGACACAAUGGAGAAUUGUUAACAUACUUCUUGAAUUUGGAAUAUUAGAAACCGAUGCGUCUUUGAAAUUUAGUUAUACUUUGAACAGUAUUGGAUAUAAAGGCAACAUCAAUGUUAAGUUAUUGACAUCUUAUUUUUAUAUAACGUUGAACCAGCUAUAAAGAUUCAACCAUGGCUACAUCUUGUAUCUACUAAUUUACAUGACAUUUUUCUUUGUUUAUAUUGUACAAAGUGCCACUUACAUGAAAAAACCUGUAAAGAUACAUAAUAUUAUGAAGAUUUUGUUUCCUAAUAUUUGCUGUAUUAGGUAAAGGCAAUAUCUAUAAUGUUGUUUUUGAAUCAUAAUAUAUCAGGUGAACAAGAAUAAAAGUUGAGUAAAAGUCUCCCCGUACA